GUUGUCCGGAAUCACUGGGCGUAAAGGGCGCGUAGGCGGCUCAUGAAGGCUGUGGUGAAAGUCCGGGGCUCAACCUCGGAUCGGCCGUGGCGACUCGUGGGCUGGAGCACUGUAGAGGCGGGUGGAAUUCCGGGUGUAGCGGUGGAAUGCGUAGAGAUCCGGAAGAACACCAGUGGCGAAGGCGGCCCGCUGGGCAGUGGCUGACGCUGAAGCGCGACAGCGUGGGGAGCAAACAGG
rnacentral:rRNA from 1 species